UGGGGAAUAUUGCACAAUGGGGGAAACCCUGAUGCAGCGACGCCGCGUGGAGGAAGAAGGUCUUCGGAUUGUAAACUCCUGUCGUUGGGGACGAUAAUGACGGUACCCAACAAGAAAGCCACGGCUAACUACGUGCCAGCAGCCGCGGUAAAACGUAGGUGGCAAGCGUUGUCCGGAAUUACUGGGUGUAAAGGGAGCGCAGGCGGAAGGACAAGUUGGAAGUGAAGCCCACGGGCUCAACCCGUGAACUGCUUUCAAAACUGUUUUUCUUGAGUGGUGUAGAGGUAGGCGGAAUUCCCGGUGUAGCGGUGGAAUGCGUAGAUAUCGGGAGGAACACCAGUGGCGAAGGCGGCCUACUGGGGCACUAACUGACGCUGAGGCUCGAAAGCAUGGGUAGCAAACAGGAUUAGAUACCCUGGUAGU
rnacentral:rRNA from 1 species